rnacentral:rRNA from 1 species
UGAACCUGGCAGANGGCUACUGCUAUUGCGAUUCUGAUUAAGCCAAAAAAGUCGAAUGAACCUAGUUNCAUGGNCAUACGGCUCAGUAACACGUGGAUAACUUACCCCUCAGGACCAGGAUAACCUUGGGGAAACUGAAGAUAAUAUCUCGACAUUCAGCUUACGCCUGGAAUGCUUUACCCUUGAAAUGUAUUUUUCGCCUGGCGAAGGAUAGAUCUGCGGCUGAUUAGGUCGUUGGUAGGGUAACCCCCCACCAAGCCCGAUGAUCGGUACGGGUUCUGAGAGCAAGAGCCCGGAGAUGGAACCUGAGACAACGGUUCCAGACCCUACGGGGUGCAGCAGGCGCGAAACCUCCUGCAAUCUACGCAAGUGCGACGGGGGCAUCCCAAGUGUUAUUCUUAACAGAAUAACUUUUCAUUAGUGUAAAAAGCUUUUAGAAUAAGACGCUGGGCAAGACCGGCGCCAGCCGCCGCGGUAACACCGGCAGCUCAAGUGGUAGCUGUUUUUAUUGGGCCUAAAGCGUUCGUAGCCGAUAUGAUAAGUCUCAGGUGAAAGCUUGUAGCUUAACUAUAAGAAUUGCUGAAGAUACUCUCAGACUUGAAGUCGGGAGAGGUUAGAGGUACUACCGGGGUAGGGGUGAAAUCUCUAUAAUCCUGGCAGGACCACCUGUGGCGAAGGCGUCUAACUGGAACGAUCUUGACGCUGAGUAACGAAAGCCAGGGGGCGCGAACCGGAUUAGAUACCCGGGGUAGUCCUGGCCGUAAACGAUGUGGACUUGGUGUUGGAAUGGCCUCGAGUUGUUCCCGUGCCGAAGCGAAGCUGUUAAGAUCCACCGCCUGGGGAAGUACGGUCGCAAGACUGAAACUUAAAGGAAUUGGCGGGGGAGCACCACAACGCGCGGAGCCUGCGGUUUAAUUGGAUUCAACGCCGGAAAUCUCACCAGGAGCGACAGCAGAAUGAUAAUCAGGUUGAUGACCUUAUUUGAAUAGCUGAAGAGGAGGUGCAUGGCCCCGUCA